rnacentral:lncRNA from 1 species
GGAACCUCUAUGUCAAUCCCAAAGGGAUCAAUAAGCCGAAUAUCUGACUUUGUCACAUCAUGGGUUUUAGCUGGAAUGGAAUAAAAAGGAAUAUGUUCCAAAAAAGUGACAUGUCGUGAAACAUAUAAUUUCUGACUUACAGGAUCAUAGCAACGAUAUCCUUUUUGUCCAAUACCAUACCCCAAAAACACACAUAUAGCUGAUUUUGACCCUAACUUAUUUCGUUCAACAUGAGGACGAAGAACAAAGCAAGUACAUCCAAAAACUCGUAAUGCAGAAUAAUUCGGCGGGUGACCAUAUAGUUUCUCAAACGGAGACAUCCCUGAAGUCAAUGCAGUAGGAAUACGAUUAAUCACAUAUACAGCAGUUAGAACUGCUUCUCCCCAAAAAAUACUAGGAACCUCUGCAGACAAAAGUAAAGAGCGUGCUGUCUCAACAAUAUGACGAUGUUUUCUUUCUGCCAGACCGUUCUGCUCAGGAGUGUCGGUACAAGAUGACUGGUGUAUGGUACCAUCAGAGGCAAGUAACUGAGUGAAGUCAUUAGAGGUAUAUUCACCCCCUAAGUCACACCUGAAACACUUUAUCACAGCCGAAUGUUGUGUUUUAACAAGGGCUCUAAAGUUGUUGUAAAUGCCAAAGAAAUCAGAUCUGCGUUUCAUAAGAUACACCCAGGUAUAACGAGUAUAGUCAUCUAUAAACGAAACAUAAUAGGUCGAUCCACCCUUAGUGGAUACUGGCGCUGGUCCCCAUACAUCAGAAUGAAUAAUAUCAAAAGGAGCAACAGAAUAAGACACACUUUUAUUAAACGGUAAGGCAGAAAAUUUUGCCAGUUUACAACCACUACAAUCUGAAAUAUCACUAGUGUUCACAUGACCCAAAGCACCACUAGAGACCAAAAAACGUAAACGUGAAACUGACACAUGUCCUAAUCUGGAAUGCCAAAGAUAAAACUGAGAAGACAAAGGACUCAAACGAAAAGAAGAUAAAUCUAUGCUAGAGGCAGCAACUACAGACACUUUGAGAUUCUCCAAGACAUAGAGUUCCCCCAACCUACGGCCGGUCCCAAUCACCCUCUGAGUGUGUUGGUCCUGUAUAACACAAACAGAAUCAGAAAAAAACACCCAAUUACCAGCCUUACACAACUGACUGACCGAAACAAGAUUUAAAGCAAGUUUGGGAAUGUAAUAAACAUCAGAGAGGACAAUGUGAGGGGUAGUAACAGAACCAACACCCUCGACUGACAUAGGGACAGCACUCGCGGACAUAACAGAGAUUGGUGAAAUGGGUGACAAAGAACCAAACGAUGACAAAUGAGGGGACAUGUGAUGAGACGCACCAGAAUCCAAUAUCCACAAGGAGGAAGGAAUACCUGAGGUACUAGAAGAAACUGAACCCGAAUGAGACAUAGAUGCUGACAUGGCCGUAGGAUUAGAAACGAAGAACUGUCUGAACUGUUCGAAAACCUGGGGAUCCAACGCAGAAGGUGGCAUAGUGCUAACAGACUCAACAUCUACAGAUGGUGCAGCAGCAGCGAACUGUGGAGGACGAGAUGACCACGGAGGAGCACCAGAGGAGCGUGACGGAGACUUUUGCUGCCCAUAUUUCUGUUGCUGCCCAGAUUGAGGCUGUUUGACCUUGUUAAGUAACAACGGACACUGAGCCUUCCAAUGAUUUUUCUG